rnacentral:rRNA from 1 species
UACGAAGGGGGCUAGCGUUGUUCGGAUUUACUGGGCGUAAAGGGCGCGUAGGCGGGCGAUUAAGUCAGGGGUGAAAUCCCAAGGCUCAACCUUGGAACUGCCUUUGAUACUGGUUGUCUUGAGUCCGGGAGAGGUGAGUGGAACUGCGAGUGUAGAGGUGAAAUUCGUAGAUAUUCGCAAGAACACCAGUGGCGAAGGCGACUUACUGGACACAUAUUGACGCUGAGGUGCGAAAGCGUGGGGAGCAAACAGG